GCAAUACCGCUGACGACCGGCGCACGGGUGAGUAACACGUAUCCAACCUUCCCAUAACUCGGGGAUAGCCUUUCGAAAGAAAGAUUAAUACCCGAUAGUACUUUUUCAAGGCAUCUUGAGAAAGUUAAAGAUUUAUUGGUUAUGGAUGGGGAUGCGUUCCAUUAGAUAGUUGGUGAGGUAACGGCUCACCAAGUCUUCGAUGGAUAGGGGUUCUGAGAGGAAGGUCCCCCACAUUGGUACUGAGACACGGACCAAACUCCUACGGGAGGCAGCAGUGAGGAAUAUUGGUCAAUGGGCGAGAGCCUGA
rnacentral:rRNA from 1 species